GAUGAACGCUGACAGAAUGCUUAACACAUGCAAGUCGAUGGGGAAGUGGUGCUUGCACCAUGGCAACCAUGGCGGACGGGUGAGUAACGCGUAAGGGACUUACCUGCAGGACUGGGAUAACAGGGGGAAACUCCUGACAAGACCGGAUAAUGUCAUGGAGCUGCAUGGCUUUAUGAUGAAAGGAGACGCCUGCGGAGAGCCUUGCGUCCUAUUAGCUAGUUGGUGAGGUAAUGGCUCACCAAGGCGAAGAUAGGUAGCCGGCCUGAGAGGGUGGACGGCCACAAGGGGACUGAGAUACGGCCCUUACUCCUACGGGAGGCAGCAGUGGGGAAUAUUGGACAAUGGGGGCAACCCUGAUCCAGCAAUUCUGUGUGCACGAAGAAGGUUUUCGGAGUGUAAAGUGCUUUCAGCAGGGAAGAAGUAAGUGACGGUACCUGCAGAAGAAGCGACGGCUAAAUACGUG
rnacentral:rRNA from 1 species